rnacentral:rRNA from 1 species
UCUUAGUGGCGAACGGGUGAGUAACGCGUGAGUAACCUGCCCUAGAGUGGGGGACAACGGUUGGAAACGACUGCUAAUACCGCAUAAGCCCACGGUACCGCAUGGUACUGAGGGAAAAGGAUUUAUUCGCUUUAGGAUGGACUCGCGUCCAAUUAGCUAGUUGGUGAGGUAACGGCCCACCAAGGCGACGAUUGGUAGCCGGGCUGAGAGGUUGAACGGCCACAUUGGGACUGAGACACGGCCCAG